UGCAACUUAGUAUCAGUUGGGAGAGUGCUUGAAUGGCAUUCAAGAGGUGGUCGGUUCGAUCCCGAUCAGCUUCACC
rnacentral:tRNA from 1 species